UUAGCAUGGAAUAAUGGAAUAGGACGUGUGGUUCUAUUUUGUUGGUUUCUAGGACCGCCGUAAUGAUUAAUAGGGAUAGUCGGGGGCAUCAGUAUUCAAUUGUCAGAGGUGAAAUUCUUGGAUUUAUUGAAGACUAACUACUGCGAAAGCAUUUGCCAAGGAUGUUUUCAUUAAUCAGUGAACGAAAGUUAGGGGAUCGAAGACGAUCAGAUACCGUCGUAGUCUUAACCAUAAACUAUGCCGACUAGGGAUCGGGCGAUGUUAUCUUUUUGACUCGCUCGGCACCUUACGAGAAAUCAAAGUUUUUGGGUUCUGGGGGGAGUAUGGUCGCAAGGCUGAAACUUAAAGAAAUUGACGGAAGGGCACCACCAGGAGUAAACUCUUUUUCC
rnacentral:rRNA from 1 species